AACCGUUAAGCUGGAGUGCAGGAGGGGCAGGCGGAAUUCCUGGUGUAGCGGUGAAAUGCGUAGAUAUUAGGAGGAACACCAGUGGCGAAGGCGACUUUCUGGACAGUAACUGACGUUGAGGCACGAAAGUGUGGGGAGCAAACAGGAUUAGAUACCCUGGUAGUCCACACCGUAAACGAUGGAUACUAGGUGUAGGCUGUGAUAAACGGUCUGUGCCGUCGCAAACGCAAUAAGUAUCCCACCUGGGGAGUACGGCCGCAGGGUUGAAACUCAAAGGAAUUGACGGGGGCCCGCACAAGCAGUGGAGUAUGUGGUUUAAUUCGAUGCAACGCGAAGAACCUUACCAGGGCUUGACAUAUAGAGUGAUAUAUUGGAAACAAUAUAGACCUUCGGGAACUCUAUACAGGUGGUGCAUGGUUGUCGUCAGCUCGUGUCGUGAGAUGUUGGGUUAAGUCCCGCAACGAGCGCAACCCCUGUUCUUAGUUGCCAGCACGUAGAGGUGGGAACUCUAAGAAGACUGCCGGUGAUAAAUCGGAGGAAGGUGGGGAUGACGUCAAAUCAUCAUGCCCUUUAUGUCCUGGGCUACACACGUACUACAAUGGCUGUAACAAAGGGAAGCGAAGCCGUGAGGUGGAGCAAAACCCAAAAAAGCAGUCUCAGCUCGGAUUGAAGGCUGAAAUUCGCCUUCAUGAAGCCGGAAUUGCUAGUAAUGGCGGGUCAGCAUACUGCCGUGAAUACGUUCCCGGGCCUUGUACACACCGCCCGUCACACCAUGAGAGUUGGGAAUACCCGAAGCCUGUGAGCUAACGUAAGAGGCAGCAGUCGAAGGUAGAAUCAAUAAUUGGGGUGAAGUCGUAACAAGGUAACCA
rnacentral:rRNA from 1 species